UACGUAGGGUGCAAGCGUUGUCCGGAAUUAUUGGGCGUAAAAGAGCUCGUAGGCGGUUUUGUUGCGUCGGCUGUGAAAUCCCGAGGCUCAACCUCGGGUCUGCAGUCGAUACGAGCAAACUAGAGUGUUGCAGGGGAGACUGGAAUUCCUGGUGUAGCGGUGAAAUGCGCAGAUAUCAGGAGGAACACCGGUGGCGAAGGCGGGUCUCUGGGCAACAACUGACGCUGGAGGAGCG
rnacentral:rRNA from 1 species